rnacentral:ncRNA from 1 species
GACUGGCUGUCUUAAAAUGGCAGCUUCCACAGGCAACUGUGGUAGAAAAUUGGGUGAAUUCAGGAAACCCUAAAGCGAAAGCCAAGGCAAUCCUGAGCGAAGCUCGCUGAAUGAUAUAUACGUAAGCGAGAACGUGCAGAGACUAAGGGAUGAGGAUAUCAACCAAUAAGCCCUACUAGCGCCCGACAUCCUAGAAAUAGGAUGAUGAGAUAGUCCAGACCUGGUAGAAAUAUCAGG